CUGACAGAUGCCAUGUGGCCCAAGAGAGCUGCACUAGUGUGGUUUGGUAGAUUGGUUUUUUAUGGUUACUGUUACUGUAUGACAAAAGCUAACUUGGCUGAGAAGCACCUAAAAAAAUGUUCAACAUCCUUAGUCAUAAGGGAAAUGCAAACCAAUACAACCCUGAGAUUCCACCUCACACCAGUCAGAAUGGCUAAGAACAAAAACACAGGUAGCCACAGAUGCUGGCGAGGAUAUGGAGAAAGAGGACCACUCUUCCAUUGCUGGUGGGAUUACAAGCUGGUACAACCACUCUGGAAAUCAGUUUGGUGGUUCAUUAGAAAUUUGAGGAUAGCACUACCUGAGGACCCAGUUAUACAACUCCUGGGCAUAUACCGAAAAGAUGCUCCAAUAUAUAACAAGGAUACAUGUUCUACUAUGUUCAUAACAGUCUCAUUUAUAACAGCCAGAAGUUGGAAAGAACCCAGAUGUUUUUCAACAGAGGAAUGGAUACAGAAUAUGUGGUACAUCUACACAAUGGAGUACUACUCAGCUAUGAAAAACAAUGACUACAUGAAAUUCUUAGGCAAAUGGAUGAAACUAGAAAGUAUCAUCCUGAGUGAGGUAACCCAAUACCAAAUACUACUACUACUACUACUACUACUACUACUACUACUACUACUACUACACAUGAUAAAUACUCACUGAUAAGUGGAUAUUAGCCCAAAAGCUCAGAAUACCCA
rnacentral:lncRNA from 1 species